rnacentral:rRNA from 1 species
AGCAGCCGCGGUAAUUCCAGCUCCAAUAGCGUAUAUUAAAGUUGUUGCAGUUAAAAAGCUCGUAGUUGAAUUUCGGGGUCAAUACGUCGGUCGUGCCUCCGGUACGUACUGACGUCGUUGAUUCCUCCUUUCUGAUGAGCCACGAUGUCAUUAAUUUGGUGUUGUGGGGAGUCAGGACUGUUACUUUGAAAAAAUUAGAGUGUUUAAAGCAGGCAAACGCUUGAAUACAUUAGCAUGGAAUAAUGAAAUAGGACGUUCGAACCUAUUUUGUUGGCUUCUAGGAUCAACGUAAUGAUUAAUAGGGAUAGUUGGGGGCAUUAGUAUUCAAUUGUCAGAGGUGAAAUUCUUGGAUUUAUUGAAGACUAACUACUGCGAAAGCAUUUGCCAAGGAUGUUUUCAUUAAUCAAGAACGAAAGUUAGGGGAUCGAAGACGAUCAGAUACCGUCGUAGUCUUAACCAUAAACUAUGCCGACUAGGGAUCGGAUGAAGUUAAUUUUUAAUGACUCAUUCGGCGCCUUAC